rnacentral:sRNA from 1 species
AUGUACUACUCGUACACUCCGGUUCCUGCGCUCCGGCCGCCCCGAGCUGACACUCGCUCGCUACGCUUUGAAUUCC